ensembl:lncRNA
CCAUGGAAACAUCACAACUGCAUUAGCCCCAUCACAACGCCUUCCAUCAGCAUGACAACUCCAUCCCAACCAUCACCAUGACAACAUCACUGAAGCAACCCCAUCACUACAGUAACACCAUCACAACACCAUCACUUCAGCAACACCAUCAAUACAGAAACAUCUUCAGCAUUUCAACAACAUCACCAGUUACAACAACAAUACUGUAACACCAACCCAUUCACUACAGUAGCACCGUCACCAUGAAAACACCAUCACUACAGAAACACCAUAACCAUGACAACACCAUCACUGAAGCAACCCCAUCACUACAGUAAGACCAUCACCAUGACAACACCAUCACUGCAGCAACACCAUCACUACAGAAACAUCUUCAGCAUUACAAAAACAUAAUCAGUUACAACAACAAUACUGUGACACCAUCACCAUGACAACCCAAUCACUACAGUUGCACCGUCGCCAUGAAAACCCCAUCACUACAGAAACAGCAUCACCAUGACAACACCAUCACUGCAGCAACCCCAUCACUACAGAAACAUCUUCAGCAUUUCAACAACAUCACCAGUUACAACAACAAUACUGUAACACCAUCACCAUGACAACCCCAUCACUACAGUAGCACCAUCACAAUGACAACCCGAUCACUACAGUAAAUCAUGUAAAUAACAUAAAAUGACCAACAAUUUGAAUGUUUUAGUCAUUCAUGUUUUCAACGCUCUACUCCUCAACACCUCCUCCACUCCUCAUCACCCCCUUACUCCUCCUCUACUCCUCAUCACCUCAUCACCCCCUUACUCGUCAUCACCUCCUCUCUCUAACACAUACUCAGUUAACCUUGGGCUGACAGAAUGUUUUGCAGAACGGAAAUCCUCUGACAGUUGGUGGACUUACCGGAAGACCGGUAGCUCCUCUACGGUUAGACCGGUAGCUCCUCUACGGUAGACCGGUAGCUCUGUACGGUAGACCGGCACCUCUACGGUUAGACCGGUAGCUUCUCUACGGUUAGACCGGUAGCUCCGUACGGUUAGACAGGUAGCUCCUCUAAGGUUAGACCGGUAGCUCCUCUACGGUUAGACCGGUAUCUCUGUACGGUAGACCAGUAUCUCUGUACGGUAGACUGGUAGCUCCUCUACGGUUAGACCGGUAUCUCUGUACUGUGGACCGGUAGCUCCACUGCGGUUAGACCGGUAGCUCUGUCUGUACGGUAGACUGGUCUCCUCCGGUAACCGCUCUACCGUUAGCUUAUACGACGGCUUUUAAUGAGGAACUAGCGCCGUUCCCAGUUAGCCUUUAGCGGGUUGACUGGGAACGGGGCGGUCAGUUAGCACGAAGGCUAACGGAAGCUAUUUAGUCGUUCGGUUAACGCUUACAACGCGUCCUCCAUGUCUCCUCUCUAUGCCUCCUUGUCUCCUAUCUACGUCUCCUUUUUCCUCCUCUCUAUCCCUCCUUGUCUCCUCUCUAUCCCUUCUUGGCUCCUCUCUAUGCCUCCUUGCCUCCCCUCUAUCCCUCCUUGUCUCCUCUACGCCUCCUUGUCUCCUCUCUACGCCUCCUUGUCUCCUCUCUUUGCCUCCUUGUCUCCUCUCGAUACCUCCUUGUCUCCUCUCUAAGCCUCCUUGUCUCCUCUCUAUCCCUCCUUGCUUCGUUGUCUCCUCUCUAUUUCUCCUUGUCUCCUCUCUUACCUUGUCGCUGUUCCGGAGCAGAUGUGUGCUUUUCCUAUUUCACAUUAAAAGUAUUUAUGUUCUCUCUCUUUCUCUCUCUCUCUUUCGCUCGCUCGCUCUCUCGCUCUCUCUCUCUCCCUCUCUCUCUCUCUCUCUCUCUCUCUCUCUCUCUCUCUCUCUCUCUCUCUCUCUCUCUCUCUCUCUCUCUCUCUCUCUCUCUCUCUCUCUCUCUCUCUCUCUCUCUCUCUCUCUCUCUCUCGCUCUCUCUCUCUACAACAACAUUGCUUACGUCGUUCUUUGGUCA